CCAGACUCCUACGGGAGGCAGCAGUGGGGAAUAUUGCACAAUGGGGGAAACCCUGAUGCAGCGACGCCGCGUGAGUGAAGAAGUAUCUCGGUACGUAAAGCUCUAUCAGCAGGGAAGAAAAUGACGGUACCUGACUAAGAAGCCCCGGCUAACUACGUGCCAGCAGCCGCGGUAAUACGUAGGGGGCAAGCGUUAUCCGGAUUUACUGGGUGUAAAGGGAGCGUAGACGGCGGAGCAAGUCUGGAGUGAAAUCCCGGGGCUCAGCUCCGGGACUGCUUUUGAAACUGUGGAGCUAGAGUGCAGGAGGGGUAAGUGGAAUUCCUAGUGUAGCGGUGAAAUGCGUAGAUAUUAGGCGGAACACCAGUGGCGAAGGCGGCUUACUGGACUGUAACUGACGCUGAGGCUCGAAAGCGUGGGGAGCAAACACGAUUAGAUCCCCUGGUA
rnacentral:rRNA from 1 species